GGGUUGUGAGGUUAAGCGACUAAGCGUACACGGUGGAUGCCCUGGCAGUCAGAGGCGAUGAAGGACGUGCUAAUCUGCGAUAAGCGUCGGUAAGGUGAUAUGAACCGUUAUAACCGGCGAUUUCCGAAUGGGGAAACCCAGUGUGAUUCGUCACACUAUCAUUAACUGAAUCCAUAGGUUAAUGAGGCGAACCGGGGGAACUGAAACAUCUAAGUACCCCGAGGAAAAGAAAUCAACCGAGAUUCCCCCAGUAGCGGCGAGCGAACGGGGAGGAG
rnacentral:rRNA from 1 species